GAUGAUAAAUAAACAAAAAAGAAAAGAAACGAAAAAGAAAGCAAAAAGCAACAGCCCCGUUUGUGGGCCUCCAUAGCCCAGGCGCAAGGCCCAGCCCCCCCUUCGGUCGUCUUCUUCCUCGCGCAGUUGCAGUGCACGCGCAGGGGGCGCGAUGCCGGAGUGGAGGGGAGGAGCAGCAACGACGCACGUGGAGCAGGGGGCAGCUGGCGUCGGAUGGGAUGCCGGUUCGGCCGGCGAAGGCCGUGGCAGCCGUCGGUCGAGCUCCGUCGACCGGCCACCCCUCGGCCUAUAAAUAGGCCCUCCAUCCCCGACGAAGAGGACACACAGAGAGAGGGAGGGAGAGGGAGAGAGGCCACCGGAGCUCGGGGUCCCCUGAGAGACUUCGGGGAGCUCGAGUCUGGGCCGGUCUUGGUGUGGUGAGCUCGGAGGGGUCCCCGAGAGACUUCGGGGAGCUCGAAGGGUGAGCCCGAGGGAGAGAGAGCGAGCCCCGGCCAGAUCCGACCAGGAUCAGGCCUCGCCGUCACCGUCGUCCCUCGCCGCGACCUCCACCGUCACAGAUCAAACCCCCAGCUUCGUCGUUGCUCGCCGUGGUCGCUGCCGUCGUAGAUCAGCCCCUGCCGUGGCCGUCACCGCCUUCGUUCAAGAGAAGGUAAAAAAGGCCGUUGCCGUUGUCCCUGCCGUCCAUCGCGAUCCCAUUCCGUCGCCGUCGCCGUCGCCAUCGUCGUGGUCCCCAUCGUCGUUGCAAUCACCGCCGUGGCCGUCGUCGCCGCAGGAUCGCUUCGGUCUCCUCUCCGGCGCCGCGGAUUCGCAAACCCUAGGGUUUGCGAUUUUCCGGGUCGCGAAGCGGAUCCGGACCCGGAAAAUCGGGUAGGGUUUGCAAUCCGGGGGGGCGGCUGCGAGUCGGGUCGUGGGGUCGGAUCCGGGUCGGGUAGGGUUCGCGGGGAGUCGGGUCGCGGAGCGGGCUGUCGGGCCGGGUCAUCGGGCCGGGCUGGAUCCCUCCCAAACGACAGGCCACAGCGUCGUUUUAACUGAACCAAAAAAUAAAAAAAGGAAAAAAUCUGAGUCGGGCCCGCAACGCGGGCCCGUCCUCAUUCGGAUCGCUGGCUCGGGUCGGACCCAACCCGCGGAUCCGACCCGAGUCAGUUUUUAUAUUAUUUUAAUAUAAAAUAAUAUUUUUAAUAACUAAAUAAAUAAUAAAUAUUUUAUUUUCGAAAAAAUAAAAAAAAUCAAAAAAUGUUUUAUUUAAAAUGUUUAAAAAAUGUUUUAUUUUCAAAAAAAUCGAGAAAAAUCAAAAAAUAAUUUAUUUUCUAAAAAUAUUUUUUAAAAAAUAUAAAAAAAAUUAUUUUCCGAAAAAUAAAAAAAUCAAAAAUAUUUCAUAUUUUCCAAAAAAAGCCAAAAAAUAAAAAAAAGCCAAAAAUUCGUGAAAUGGCCAAAAAAUUCAGAAAAAGCCAAAAAGACUUGUAUUUUUUCCAAAAAAUACCAAAAGCCCCCGAAAAAUCCCUUUUGUGUCCCAAAAAUUAGAAAAUGACUCAAAAAAUAUUUUUCCUCCCAAAAAUACAUGGAAAAUCCCUCGAACAUCCAAAAAAUCUUAGGGUUUAAACAAGGUUAGGUACCGAAAGGGCAUUAGUGAUUAACUAGUGUAAUCAAGUCCCCGAUCCUAAUUUCUCUGGUUGCGCAGGAGUGAGUAUUUCUCCCGAUACUUCACUUGGGUUUCUAAUCAACCCACCCCAAAUCAAUUAGUGGCGACUCCAAUUUAAAAAUUAAUUUACAGGUUAAAAACUCAGACCAUUAAGUCGUGAAUUGGUGGACUUGAGAGAGUCCGGGCAUAAUUAAAAUUAGCCGAGCCAUUAGCCUCCUUAGGCGCUCGUACCCGAUUGCGGGCGCCGAGAAAAAAG
rnacentral:lncRNA from 1 species